GAUGAACGCUGGCGGCGUGCCUAAUACAUGCAAGUCGAGCGAACAGACGAGGAGCUUGCUCCUCUGACGUUAGCGGCGGACGGGUGAGUAACACGUGGAUAACCUACCUAUAAGACUGGGAUAACUUCGGGAAACCGGAGCUAAUACCGGAUAAUAUAUUGAACCGCAUGGUUCAAUAGUGAAAGACGGUUUUGCUGUCACUUAUAGAUGGAUCCGCGCCGCAUUAGCUAGUUGGUAAGGUAACGGCUUACCAAGGCGACGAUGCGUAGCCGACCUGAGAGGGUGAUCGGCCACACUGGAACUGAGACAUGGUCCAGACUCCUACGGGAGGCAGCAGUAGGGAAUCUUCCGCAAUGGGCGAAAGCCUGACGGAGCAACGCCGCGUGAGUGAUGAAGGUCUUCGGUUCGUAAAACUCUGUUAUUAGGGAAGAACAAAUGUGUAAGUAACUAUGCACGUCUUGACGGUACCUAAUCAGAAAGCCACGGCUAACUACGUG
rnacentral:rRNA from 1 species